rnacentral:lncRNA from 1 species
UACAAUAAUUCUUUUGACUGUGAAAUAGAUUCUCCAAAAAUAUCUUUUGUUAAGAUAGCAGGUAGCAAUCCAGUACAUAUACCGGGAAAUUCAAUGAAGACAGUAAUGUGUACAACCAGACAAAAAGACAAUAAUGAAAAGUAUUGUGCAGUUGUUCAGUCAUUACAAGGUAACCAAGGCUCUUUACCAAGAAACAUUAUGGUAGUUGAUAGUUAUGCUGAGAUAAGUCAAGG